CCUACACAGGUACUUCCACAGCACCAAGUCUACUCAGCCCACAAGCACUGCCCAGGCACCUCUGCUGUGUGGCUAGAAAAGGUUGAUGAUACUCUCUGGGGCUGCACUGUCUUCUAGAAGGUCAUCAGCCUACAUGUGCCAAGAAAGGCCAGCAUCCUCCAGAAACUACCUGUGCCCCAGCCUGGACGUCUGUCUAGGGCAGCAGCUCUUCUGAGUCAGCAGAGCCCCAGUUCCUGGUUCCAUGAUGGAAACAGCUCCCUGAUCCAUGUGAGACUUAAGUGUGACUACAGGUUUCUUCAGGAAACCUGUAGGUGACUUGUGUGUGUGUGCAUAUGUGUGAGUGUGUUGCUGGUGGUGGUGGGGAGAGACACAAAAUAACCUGGGAACCCUUGAAUCCCCCACAGGAGCUGAGAUUAGCGGUAACAACAAUGCUCAAGAGAAACCCUGAGUUCCCAGGCCUCGUGCCUGUUUUCAGAAGGAUCUUCUUUUAACAAGCCUUAGGCGGUUUCAGCUGGUUUCCAUUUCGGACGCUGUCUGGACAGACUCAGAGUAGAGCCCUGUCAGAACUAUUUUCUGUCAGUGACUGGUAUGAGGCUCUAACAGAGAGCAGGCUGUGUUACAAGGCAGGUCCUGAAGAUCUGAUCCUGCCGUCCGCUAGCACAUGCACCUGGGUCAGCAAUAACACAGGGGGUCUUAGCAGUCCAGCACCCUUUUUACACACAAGUCUCUCUAGGCCUAGAGACAGCCCUGUAGCCCAUGGCAACCAAGGAGCCAAUGGGUGGCCAAGAAUCUGACGCUGCCAUGGUGACGAGCUCCUUUCCUUGGUAAUAGAGAGAAUGGAGUGGAGUGGAUGGGGAAAGACCUGCACCUGUGAGAGGCCCUAGACCACCUCCCCGCCCCCUUCCCACGCAUUUUCAAACAUGGUGACGGUUUGUGAGGGGGAGUGAAGAAACGCAUGGAGACUGAAGUGGCAACAGAGGCCCUCGUAUCUGCCACCUGAACCUGAGGACCCCAGGGCCACCCCCACCCCCAGCAGGAUCAGUUCACCCAGGGAAGAAGGGCUGUUCGGGGACAAAAGAAGAUGAUUAUAGUUUUCUCCACUCUGAAAUAAGAGCCAGGAGUUAAGGGUGCCCAAUUUGGCCGGGCACAGUGGCUCAUGCCUAUAAUCCCAGCACCUCUACCAUACGAAGCGGGAGGUGCGGACUCAGGGAGAGGAGGGCUGACGGCAAAGACUUGAGCGUGUGGCU